GGGGAUGUAGCUCAAUUGGUAGAGCAAUUGCAGCGCUUGUGUUAGGUACGGGGUUCGAUUCCUUGCAUCUCCA
rfam:Brachypodium distachyon strain Bd21 chromosome 4, whole genome shotgun sequence.